CCGGGUGUGGCGCAGAUGGUAGCGCGCAUGACUGGGGGUCAUGAGGCCGCAGGUUCAAGUCCUGUCACUCGGACCA
rnacentral:tRNA from 1 species